UAGUCCUUUAACUUAGUCCCGUGAGGCUGAGAAGGAAACGGAACGUAGCUCAGGUGUAAAUACUAUUCCUGUGUCUACUUUGUGGAAUCCUCUCAUGUCAACUAACGGCAUGAGAGUUUUUUCG
rfam:Bacillus okhensis strain Kh10-101 contig52, whole genome shotgun sequence.